rfam:complete chromosome Acholeplasma palmae.
GAAGCAUCGUCAUUCAAUAGUAAGACGUGAAACUGGUCAGGUCUUGAUUGAAGCAGCCAUAAGCAUUCUGCUAUGUGGAUGGCGAUGCUUGAUG